GAUGAACGCUGGCGGCGUGCCUAAUACAUGCAAGUCGAGCGAACAGACGAGGAGCUUGCUCCUUUGACGUUAGCGGCGGACGGGUGAGUAACACGUAGGUAACCUACCUAUAAGACUGGGAUAACUUCGGGAAACCGGAGCUAAUACCGGAUAAUAUUUCGAACCGCAUGGUUCGAUAGUGAAAGAUGGCUUUGCUAUCACUUAUAGAUGGACCUGCGCCGUAUUAGCUAGUUGGUAAGGUAACGGCUUACCAAGGCAACGAUACGUAGCCGACCUGAGAGGGUGUUCGGCCACACUGGAACUGAGACACGGUCCAGACUCCUACGGGAGGCAGCAGUAGGGAAUCUUCCGCAAUGGGCGAAAGCCUGACGGAGCAACGCCGCGUGAGUGAUGAAGGUCUUCGGAUCGUAAAACUCUGUUAUUAGGGAAGAACAAACGUGUAAGUAACUGUGCACGUCUUGACGGUACCUAAUCAGAAAGCCACGGCUAACUACGUG
rnacentral:rRNA from 1 species